CUCGGGUGAACCCGCGUCCGCCUCGGAGUAUGUACAUCAGAUUGUCUACAAACGUGCUGCAUCUCAGAAUCAGGUUUAUUAUCACCGGCAUGUGUCGUGAAGCAGCCGUUCAAUGCAGUACAUAACAUAGAAGAACAAAUAAUAAUUAAAUAUAUAAAAAGUGAAAGAGAGUUAACAGUGGAUGUCAACAAGUGUGGAUCACUGGAAAAUAAUGCUGAAGAGGUGGUAAUAUGGGACAAAAAAUGGCGGAAGGACUCCAAGUAUUUUACUUCACUGUGGAAGAUUCCAAGAGUAUGCCAGAAAUUUGAGAGUGACGGGACAGAAGUAAGUGUAGUUGCUUCCAGGAGAAGGUGCUUGAGAAGCUGAAAGGUCUUAAGAAUUUUCUGGUGACUUGAUUGUUUCCGCCUUGACUUCAGACAAUGCAGGUGAACUUGCAUUUGAUAGAAUUGAAAAGUCAGCUGGUCCACCACGUGCAGGAGGUAACUCAAUCCCCAGCUG